UACGUAGGGUGCAAGCGUUAAUCGGAAUUACUGGGCGUAAAGCGUGCGCAGGCGGCUUUGCAAGACAGAUGUGAAAUCCCCGGGCUUAACCUGGGAACUGCAUUUGUGACUGCAUGGCUGGAGUGCGGCAGAGGGGGAUGGAAUUCCGCGUGUAGCAGUGAAAUGCGUAGAUAUGCGGAGGAACACCGAUGGCGAAGGCAAUCCCCUGGGCCUGCACUGACGCUCAUGCACGA
rnacentral:rRNA from 1 species